UACGUAUGUCGCAAGCGUUAUCCGGAAUUAUUGGGCAUAAAGGGCAUCUAGGCGGCCAGAUAAGUCUGGGGUGAAAACUUGCGGCUCAACCGCAAGCCUGCCCUGGAAACUAUGCGGCUAGAGUACUGGAGAGGUGGACGGAACUGCACGAGUAGAGGUGAAAUUCGUAGAUAUGUGCAGGAAUGCCGAUGAUGAAGAUAGUUCACUGGACGGUAACUGACGCUGAAGUGCGAAAGCUAGGGGAGCAAACAGG
rnacentral:rRNA from 1 species